GACGAACGCUGGCGGCGUGCUUAACACAUGCCAGUCGAACGGAAAGGCCCUGCUUUUGUGGGGUGCUCGAGUGGCGAACGGGUGAGUAACACGUGAGUAACCUGCCCUUGACUUUGGGAUAACUUCAGGACACUUGGGCUCAUACCGGAUAGGAGCUCUUGCUGCAUGGUGGGGGUUGGAAAGUUUAGGCGGUUGGGGAUGGACUCGCGGCCUAUCAGCUUGUUGGUGGGGUAGUGGCUUAACAAGGCUUUGACGGGUAGCCGGCCUGAGAGGGUGACCUGCCACAUUGGGACUGAGAUACGGCCCAGCCUCCUACGGGAGGCAGCAGUGGGGAAUAUUGCACAAUGGGCUGAAGCCUAAUGCAGCACCGCCGCGUGCGGGAUGACGGCCUUCGCGUUGUAUACCGCUUUCGCCUGUGACGAAGCGUGAGUGACGGUAAUGGGUAAAGAAGCACCGGCUAACUACGUG
rnacentral:rRNA from 1 species